AGAGUUUGAUCAUGGCUCAGAUUGAACGCUGGCGGCAGGCCUAACACAUGCAAGUCGAGCGGAAACGACACUAACAAUCCUUCGGGUGCGUUAAUGGGCGUCGAGCGGCGGACGGGUGAGUAAUGCCUAGGAAAUUGCCUUGAUGUGGGGAUAACCAUUGGAAACGAUGGCUAAUACCGCAUAAUGCCUACGGGCCAAAGAGGGGGAUCUUCGGACCUCUCGCGUCAAGAUAUGCCUAGGUGGGAUUAGCUAGUUGGUGAGGCAAUGGCUCACCAAGGCGACGAUCCCUAGCUGGUCUGAGAGGAUGAUCAGCCACACUGGAAAUGAGACACGGUCCAGACUCCUACGGGAGGCAGCAGUGGGGAAUAUUGCACAAUGGGCGAAAGCCUGAUGCAGCCAUGCCGCGUGUAUGAAGAAGGACUUCGGGUUGUAAAGUACUUUCAGUUGUGAGGAAGGGGGUGUAGUUAAUAGCUGCAUCUCUUGACGUUAGCAACAGAAGAAGCACCGGCUAACUCCGUGCCAGCAGCCGCGGUAAUACGGAGGGUGCGAGCGUUAAUCGGAAUUACUGGGCGUAAAGCGCAUGCAGGUGGUUCAUUAAGUCAGAUGUGAAAGCCCGGGGCUCAACCUCGGAACUGCAUUUGAAACUGGUGAACUAGAGUGCUGUAGAGGGGGGUAGAAUUUCA
rnacentral:rRNA from 1 species